AUUGAACGCUGGCGGCAUGCCUUACACAUGCCAGUCGAACGGUAACGGGCCUUCGGGUGCCGACGAGUGGCGAACGGGUGAGUAAUACAUCGGAACGUGCCCGAUCGUGGGGGAUAACGAGGCGAAAGCUUUGCUAAUACCGCAUACGAUCUACGGAUGAAUGCAGGGGACCGCAAGGCCUUGCGCGGACGGAGCGGCCGAUGGCAGAUUAGGUAGUUGGUGGGAUAAAAGCUUACCAAGCCGACGAUCUGUAGCUGGUCUGAGAGGAUGAUCAGCCACACUGGGACUGAGACACGGCCCAGACUCCUACGGGAGGCAGCAGUGGGGAAUUUUGGACAAUGGGCGCAAGCCUGAUCCAGCCAUGCCGCGUGCAGGAUGAAGGCCUUCGGGUUGUAAACUGCUUUUGUACGGAACGAAAAGCCUUCUUUUAAUACAGGAGGGUCAUGACGGUACCGUAAGAAUAAGCACCGGCUAACUACGUG
rnacentral:rRNA from 1 species